rnacentral:rRNA from 1 species
CCAGACUCCUACGGGAGGCAGCAGUGGGGAAUAUUGGGCAAUGGGCGCAAGCCUGACCCAGCAACGCCGCGUGAAGGAAGAAGGCUUUCGGGUUGUAAACUUCUUUUCUGAGGGACGAAGAAAGUGACGGUACCUCAGGAAUAAGCCACGGCUAACUACGUGCCAGCAGCCGCGGUAAUACGUAGGUGGCAAGCGUUAUCCGGAUUUAUUGGGUGUAAAGGGCGUGUAGGCGGGAAAGCAAGUCAGAUGUGAAAACUCAGGGCUCAACCCUGAGCCUGCAUUUGAAACUGUUUUUCUUGAGUGCUGGAGAGGCAAUCGGAAUUCCGUGUGUAGCGGUGAAAUGCGUAGAUAUACGGAGGAACACCAGUGGCGAAGGCGGCUUUCUGGACUGAAACUGACACUGAGGCUCGAAAGCGUGGGGAGCAAACAGGAUUAGAUACCCCGGUAA